UUGGUUUAUAUAGUAGCUUAAACGAAUCUUUCUAACUAAUUAAUGAAGCUACUGGAAUCUGUUAUUUACAACUGAAAUCAGUUUGUUACACGUUAAGCAACAUGUAUAACGAAUAUUGACACGUCAGCUCUUGAGCUGGAAUCCCCUGCUCUGUUACUCAUAUAUGCUAACAUCCCCUCUCAAGCUGAACUGUGUAGGAAAUAUGUUCAGCUUGCUUCUAAGAUAACUGAAUUGUCCAUAGGUCAAAGCUUUUGUGAAUAUGUCUGCAGCUUGAUCUUCAC
rnacentral:lncRNA from 1 species